rnacentral:rRNA from 1 species
UACGUAGGGCGCAAGCGUUAUCCGGAAUUAUUGGGCGUAAAGAGCUCGUAGGCGGUUUGUCGCGUCUGCUGUGAAAACCUAAGGCUCAACCUUGGGCUUGCAGUGGGUACGGGCAGACUAGAGUGCGGUAGGGGAGACUGGAAUUCCUGGUGUAGCGGUGAAAUGCGCAGAUAUCAGGAGGAACACCGGUGGCGAAGGCGGGUCUCUGGGCCGUAACUGACGCUGAGGAGCGAAAGCGUGGGGAGCGAACAGG